ACUCUUCACAGAUUAAAUGCAUUUGCCAGGCAAUGGUAAAUGGUGGCGUUGGGAGCUUAGGAGGAUGUGUACGUCAGGAACCCCACAGAGACAUUGCCUGCAUAGCAAUACUAACACAUUUUUUCUUUAUACAAAAAUAACUACUAAAAUUAUGUCCAUGAAUGUUAGAGGUUUGAAUUCCCAUACAAAAGGAGGCUUCUGUGGAAUGAAGUAAAAACCACAGGUUUAUUUUAUUUUAAAUGAAGUUUAUUGAAAAUGUGAGUAACAACACAUUCAGGCAAUAUCAAUAUUGGGCUCAAUUGUCAGUAGGAAAAGGUAUUUACAUUGUGACAGAGAACAGAGAUGGUAAGUACAAAUGGUAUCAGCAAAUUCCCGACAAAAAAAUAAUUUAAUCUUGGGCCCAAGUAUGUAACAGCAAA